rnacentral:rRNA from 1 species
UACGAAGGGGGCUAGCGUUGUUCGGAUUUACUGGGCGUAAAGCGCACGUAGGCGGAUCGUUAAGUCGGGGGUGUAAUCCUGGAGCUCAACUCCAGAACUGCCUUCGAUACUGGCGAUCUUGAGUCCGGAAGAGGUGAGUGGAACUCCUAGUGUAGAGGUGGAAUUCGUAGAUAUUAGGAAGAACACCAGUGGCGAAGGCGGCUCACUGGUCCGGUACUGACGCUGAGGUGCGAAAGCGUGGGGAGCAAACAGG